CUUAACAAUUAAUUUAACAUAACACUGUUUAUACCAAAACAUGACCUCAACAUAAAAACUAAACCAUUUUUUUACCUGAGUAUGGGAGACAGAGAAGGUUCAACCCAAAGCAAUAGAAAGAGUACCGCAAGGGAAAGCUGAAAGAGAAGUGAAACAACCCAUAUCAGCACAAGAAACAAGACAUAACCUU
rnacentral:rRNA from 1 species